rnacentral:rRNA from 1 species
CAGCCGCCGCGGUAAUACCGGCGGCCCGAGUGGCGGCCACUAUUAUUGGGCUUAAAGCGUCCGUAGCCGGGUUGGUUAGUCUCCCGGGAAAUCUGGCCGCUUAACGGUCAGAAUUCCGGGAGAUACUGCCAGCCUAGGGACCGGGAGAGGCCGAGGGUAUUCCCGGAGUAGGGGUGAAAUCCUAUAAUCCCAGGGGGACCGCCAGUGGCGAAGGCGCCCCGCUGGAACGGGUCCGACGGUGAGGGACGAAGGCCAGGGGAGCAAACCGGAUUAGAUACCCGGGUAGUCCUGGCUGUAAAGGAUGCGGGCUAGGUGUCGGGUGAGCUUCGGGCUCGCCCGGUGCCGUAGGGAAGCCGUUAAGACCGCCGCCUGGGGAGUACGGCCGCAAGGCUGAAACUUAAAGGAAUUGGCGGG